CAGUAGCCACGGUAAUACGAAGGGUGCAAGCGUUAAUCGGAAUUACUGGGCGUAAAGCGUGCGUAGGCGGUGAGUUAAGUCUGCUGUGAAAUCCCCGGGCUCAACCUGGGAAUGGCAGUGGAUACUGGCUCGCUAGAGUGUGUCAGAGGAUGGUGGAAUUCCCGGUGUAGCGGGGAAAUGCGUAGAGAUCGGGAGGAACAUCAGUGGCGAAGGCGGCCAUCUGGGACAACACUGACGCUGAGGCACGAAAGCGUGGGGAGCAAACAGGAUUAGAUACCCCCGUAGUCCCUGUCUCUUAUAC
rnacentral:rRNA from 1 species